UCCGACCUCAGAUCGAACGAGAAUACCCGCCGAAUUUAAGCAUAUUAAUAAGCGGAGGAAAAGAAACUAACGAGGAUUCCUAAAGUAACGGCGAGUGAAAUAGGAAGAGUCCAGCGCCGAAUCUCCCGUUCUUCGAACGGCGAGAACUGUGGCGUGAAGGAAAACACUAUUCGGUCGUUUCGCCUUUUUUCAAGUUCGUUUGAUUGCGGCCAAUACCUAAGGAGGGUGCGAGGCCCGUGCGCGAAAAGGCGAGCGGUCGAUUCGUUUUCCUCAGAGUCGGGUUGCUCGGGAUUGCAGCCUAAAUCGGGUGGUAAACUCCAUCUAAGACUAAAUAUCAGCACGAAACCGAUAGCGAACAAGUACCGUGAGGGAAAGUUGAAAAGAACUUUGAAGAGAGAGUUCAAAAGUACGUGAAACCGCUUAAAGGUAAGCGGAAGAGCUCGAAAAGGAGGUGCGCGGUUCAGCCGGCGUGGUAGCGUACUCAGGUUCYGGGGAGAAAGGCCGUUCGCGGUCCUCCCCCGGGGUCGGUUUAAACGWGGCUGCCCGGCGCAUUCCGCGCGCUAUCGAUAUCGCGACCGAUGGUGGGUCCGUUCCCCCCGCGACGCGGGAGCCGAUUAAGGCUUCACAAGUCGCGGUCGGGCGAUCGGCAGCCCGCCAUCGAUACGACUAGACGGUGGCCUUCGGGCGUACUCUCGGUGACGCGGACGCUUUCCUGAUUCGGUUCGAUGUGACGGUUCGCCGUCGUCGGUCUUCGAAGGGGGCGUCGGUUACCAUGGUAUCAACCGUCGUUAGGUCCGCGACGUUAAUAAUUCGACGCUUUUCCGACCCGUCUUGAAACACGGACCAAGGAGUCUAACAGGUGCGCGAAUCUCGGGGAUUCUAUCGAAACCCACGGGUGUAACGAAAGUAAAGGAUUCUUCGCGAAUCCGAGGAAAGAUACCGGCUUCGGUCGGUCGCAUUUCCGUUCUGUCGCGACGGGAGAAAUCGCCGUGCGAUGGAAAAAGAGCGUACACGUUGGGACCCGAAAGAUGGUGAACUAUUCCUGGGAAGGAUGAAGCC
rnacentral:rRNA from 1 species